GACUCUCGGCAACGGAUAUCUCGGCUCUCGCAUCGAUGAAGAACGUAGCGAAAUGCGAUACUUGGUGUGAAUUGCAGAAUCCCGUGAACCAUCGAGUCUUUGAACGCAAGUUGCGCCCGAAGCCUUUAGGCCGAGGGCACGUCUGCCUGGGUGUCACGCAACGUCGCCAACGCCCGAU
rnacentral:rRNA from 1 species